UUAAUUGAAACCAAAUUUGAGGUUUAUCACUGUUAAUGAUACUAUUGAGAAAAUUUCUCCAAUUAAG
rnacentral:tRNA from 1 species